rnacentral:tRNA from 1 species
GCCGAUGUAGCUCAGUUGGCAGAGCGGCUCCAUGGUAAGGAGUAGGUCGCCGGUUCGAAUCCGGCCAUCGGCUCCA